rnacentral:rRNA from 1 species
AUACGUAGGUGACAAGCGUUAUCCGGAUUUACUGGGUUUAAAGGGUGCGUAGGCGGUUUGCUAAGCGGGAGGUGAAAUGCCGGCGCUCAACGUCGGAAGUGCCUCCCGAACUGGUGGACUUGAAUGACUCUGCCGUGGGAGGAAUGUGUAGUGUAGCGGUGAAAUGCUUAGAGAUUACACAGAACACCGAUUGCGAAGGCAUCUCACGAAGGGUUGAUUGACGCUGAGGCACGAAAGCGUGGGGAUCAAACAGGAUUAGAUACCCUGGUAGUCCACGCAGUAAACGAUGAUGGCUAACCGCUGGGCUUAUCAGUUCAGUGGCCAAGCGAAAGCGAUAAGCCAUCCACCUGGGGAGUACGACCGCAAGGUUGAAACUCAAAUGAAUUGGCGGGG